rnacentral:lncRNA from 1 species
GGCCAAUGGGCACCCGCCCCGGGGCUGUUCCCCUCGGAGACAAGGCUCUGCGGGGACGGUUGGCCGGCCUCGCUCUCACGCAGCAUCUGAGUUUUUCCCGCUCAAAGUAAGGGCAGUGGGGAUUGGCCCGCGCGGAUCUAGAACUGAUCGCUGAUUGGCUAAUACCGCGACAGAGGGAGCAGUCGGCCGAGUGAGAAUGGAGCAGGUGCUUGGCAGAUUUGAGAGGUCGAGCGGCAACUGAACGACAACCUCCAUCGCUGGCCCAGAGCCAACGCGUGCAGCUUUGCCCCCUCGGCCCCUCCCCUAGUCCCCAGAAUGCGCUGGGCGUCCAAGACUCACGCCUGGCGGCCUUGCCAGCCAAGAGGCGGUGGGCCAGUCUGAGAGGAAAGCGCCCGCGCCGGCCCGGUCCGGGCGACGUGUCGGGACCAGUGUGACCCCUGAGCAGAGUGGCGCCCCGCGAGGUCCCGGAAACACGCAUCCCUGGGCGAUGCUCUUAUACAGACAUAAAAUGUGUUGCAACUUUAAAGAUGCUGAGGCAGACGCUGCGGGCACUGUUAGGGGUUUGCUUUCAGAGCCACGCUACAGGAACAGCAGCUCCCCAGACGGCCGGCCCCGGAGAGAUGGGCUCCGCGCCACGCGCCCCAUCGCCACCUCAGGCUCCCGCUUUCCUACUUCCGGCCACCAGUGGGGUCCGGGCCCGGCGACCCCGCCGACCACCCCCUUGCGCAGAAGCCUGCGUCCUUUCCUGCCCCGCACCCCCCAUUUUCUCGAAAACUGUUCAACCCCAUACUUUUUUAAAAGUAAAAAUACAUUUUAGGUGUACAAUUCAGCGGCAUGAAAGAUAUUCACAGCGUUGUGCAACCAUCACUACUGUCUACUUUCUUCCUUGCCCAAUAGUAUGGUGUAUUUUAAGAAAUAAGGAUUAUAGGAAAAUUUAACUGUUGAACUCAAGUGACUACAUUAGCAAAGGAGACAUUUUGGUUAUGCAGCAAGCAAGCAUUUAGCAUUUCAG